rnacentral:rRNA from 1 species
GACGUAGGGCGCGAGCGUUGUCCGGAUUUAUUGGGCGUAAAGAGCUCGUAGGCGGCUUGUUGCGUCGACUGUGAAAACCUGCGGCUCAACCGUGUGGUCUGCAGUCGAUACGGGCAGGCUAGAGUUCGGUAGGGGAGACUGGAAUUCCUGGUGUAGCGGUGAAAUGCGCAGAUAUCAGGAGGAACACCGGUGGCGAAGGCGGGUCUCUGGGCCACUACUGACGCUGAGAAGCGAAAGCAUGGGGAGCGAACAGG